ensembl:snRNA U2 U2 spliceosomal RNA
AUCUCUUCUCGGCCUUUUGGCUACGAUCGAGUGUAGUAUCUGUUCUUAUCAGUUUAAAUGAGCCUCUUUAAAUCCAGAUUUCUUUAUAUAUUUUAGUGUUUGCAUUCCUAAGAUGAAUUAAACGCUUU